CCUACGGGAUGCUGCAGUGGGGAAUAUUGGACAAUGGGCGAAAGCCUGAUCCAGCCAUGCCGCGUGUGUGAAGAAGGCCUUCGGGUUGUAAAGCACUUUCAGUAGGGAAGAAAGCCUUGGGGCUAAUACCCUCGAGGAAGGACAUCACCCACAGAAGAAGCACCGGCUAACUCCGUGCCAGCAGCCGCGGUAAUACGGAGGGUGCGAGCGUUAAUCGGAAUUACUGGGCGUAAAGCGCGCGUAGGCGGUCUGAUAAGCCGGUUGUGAAAGCCCCGGGCUCAACCUGGGAACGGCAUCCGGAACUGUCAGGCUAGAGUGCAGGAGAGGAAGGUAGAAUUCCCGGUGUAGCGGUGAAAUGCGUAGAGAUCGGGAGGAAUACCAGUGGCGAAGGCGGCCUUCUGGACUGACACUGACGCUGAGGUGCGAAAGCGUGGGUAGCAAACAGGAUUAGAUACCAGUAGUC
rnacentral:rRNA from 1 species